rnacentral:rRNA from 1 species
AUUGAACGCUAGCGGGAUGCUUUAUACAUGCAAGUCGAACGAGUGGCGGACGGGUGAGUAAUAUAUCUGAACGUGCUCAGUAGCGGGGGAUAACUACUCGAAAGAGUGGCUAAUACCGCAUACUAUUGGCGUGGCCGAUAUCGGAUUAGCUAGUUGGUGGGGUAAAGGCUCACCAAGGCAACGAUCCGUAGCUGGUUUGAGAGGUCGACCAGCCACACUGGGACUGAGACACGGCCCAGACGCCUACGGGAGGCAGCAGUGGGGAAUUUUGGACAAUGGGGGAAACCCUGAUGCAGCCAUCCCGCGUGUAUGAGAAGGCCUUCGGAUUGUAAAAUACUUUUAGCAGGGAAGCGGUAUCUGAAGAGUAAGCACCGGCUAACUACGUGCCAGCAGCCGCGGUAAUUC